CUUUUACCUCAGGUGUGAACUGUGUGGAAGCCUCAUCGCCACGCCUGGGGAGGGGGCAGCAGUGUACCUGGUUUGCGGUCUGUUUGCCGGUCCAGGGAUCUCCAUCGGCCACACUGGGUGUGACCGUCCCUUGUGUCUGGCACACCCAUUCUCUGUGCAGUACGGCACGGAGGGCACAGGGCAGGAGAAGGAAGGGGACAGGCCGCUGUCUUCGGGAUGCCUGUGUGGGAAGGCGAGUUAUCUCACCCUGCCCUUGCCUAAACCUGCCGCCGGCCGGAAGCUUGUCAAGCAGCACGAAGAGUGCGCUGUGAGGUCAGGCUAACCCGGUUUGUCAUUUAUUAGCAGUGUACGCUUGGUUCUCCGCAAUGGCCUGGGAAAGCACUAGAAGAUGGCCCAAGUCCUUGAGCCCCUGAACCCACAUGGGAGACCCAAGAAGAAGCUCCUGGCUCUUGGCUUUGGAUCAGCCCAGCUCUGGCCAUUGCAGCCAUUUAUGGAGUGAACCAGUGGGUGGAAGACCUCUCUCUUGGUGUGCCUCUCCUUCUCUCUCUGUGUAAUUCUGACUUUCAAGUAAAUAAAUACACCUAAAAAAAAAAACAAAAAA